UGGGCCCAUAACCCAGAGGUCGAUGGAU
rnacentral:piRNA from 6 species